GCCAAAUGUCGGAUUUCGGGCUCUGUAAAACCCGAAAGAUUCAGGACACGACAAGGGGGGCGUGCGGAGACCUUCUGCAACUUGGAUUCGCCUAACUCACUACUUGUCGGGGAUGGCAAGGAACUCAUCGAUGGUGAGGAAGACACAGGACACGAGGGCCUUCUCUUGAUGGUGAGGAACUCACUCGAUGGUGAGGAACUCACUCGAUGGUGAG
rnacentral:lncRNA from 1 species